UACGUAGGGUGCGAGCGUUGUCCGGAAUUACUGGGCGUAAAGCGCACGUAGGCGGCUUUCUAAGUCAGGGGUGAAAUCCUGGAGCUCAACUCCAGAACUGCCUUUGAUACUGGGAAGCUUGAGUUCGGGAGAGGUGAGUGGAACUGCGAGUGUAGAGGUGAAAUUCGUAGAUAUCGGGAGGAACACCAGUGGCGAAGGCGACUACCUGGCCUGUUCUUGACGCUGAGGCGCGAAAGCUGGGGGAGCAAACGGG
rnacentral:rRNA from 1 species